CUGCGAGUGAAGCGGCAAAAGCUCAAAUUUGAAAUCUGGCGUCUUCGACGUCCGAGUUGUAAUUUGGAGGGGCAUCUUCGGAGUUGGCGCCGUCCUAAGUUCCUUGGAACAGGACGUCAUAGAGGGUGAGAAUCCCGUGCCUGGAUGGCUGUCCAUCUCCAUGUGAAGUGUCUCCGACGAGUCGAGUUGUUUGGGAAUGCAGCUCAAAAUGGGUGGUAAAUUUCAUCUAAAGCUAAAUAUUGGCGAGAGACCGAUAGCGCACAAGUAGAGUGAUCGAAAGAUGAAAAGCACUUUGAAAAGAGAGUUAAAAAGUACGUGAAAUUGUUGAAAGGGAAGCGCUUGAGAUCAGACUCAAUCUUUGGUGAUCAGCUGUGCUUCUGUACAGUGCACUUGCCUUUGAUUGGGCCAGCAUCGGUUCUGACGGUGGGAUAAAAGGCUGAGGAAUGUGGCUCUCUUCGGGGAGUGUUAUAGCCUCAGUCAUAAUGCCGCCAGUUGGGACCGAGGACCGCGCUUCGGCUAGGAUGCUGGCGUAAUGGUCUUAAGCGACCCGUCUUGAAACACGGACCAAGGAGUCUAACAUCUAUGCGAGUGUUCGGGUGGAAAACCCUUGCGCGUAAUUAAAGUGAACGGAGGUGGGAACCCCUCGGGGUGCACCAUCGACCGAUCCUGAUGUCUUCGGAAGGAUUUGAGUAAGAGCAUAGCUGUUGGGACCCGAAAGAUGGUGAACUAUGCCUGAAUAGGGUGAAGCCAGAGGAAACUCUGGUGGAGGCUCGCAGCGGUUCUGACGUGCAAAUCGAUCGUCAAAUUUGGGUAUAGGGGCGAAAGACU
rnacentral:rRNA from 1 species